rnacentral:rRNA from 1 species
GUGGGGAAUAUUGGACAAUGGGGGGAACCCUGAUCCAGCCAUGCCGCGUGUGUGAAGAAGGCCUUUUGGUUGUAAAGCACUUUAAGCGAGGAGGAGGCUACCGAGAUUAAUACUCUUGGAUAGUGGACGUUACUCGCAGAAUAAGCACCGGCUAACUCUGUGCCAGCAGCCGCGGUAAUACAGAGGGUGCAAGCGUUAAUCGGAUUUACUGGGCGUAAAGCGCGCGUAGGUGGCCAAUUAAGUCAAAUGUGAAAUCCCCGAGCUUAACUUGGGAAUUGCAUUCGAUACUGGUUGGCUAGAGUAUGGGAGAGGAUGGUAGAAUUCCAGGUGUAGCGGUGAAAUGCGUAGAGAUCUGGAGGAAUACCGAUGGCGAAGGCAGCCAUCUGACCUAAUACUGACACUGAGGUGCGAAAGCAUGGGGAGCAAACAGGAUUAGAAACCCGUGUAGUCC